rnacentral:rRNA from 1 species
GAUGAACGCUAGCGGCAGGCUUAACACAUGCAAGUCGAGGGGUAUAUGUCUUCGGAUAUAGAGACCGGCGCACGGGUGCGUAACGCGUAUGCAAUCUACCUUUUACAGGGGAAUAGCCCAGAGAAAUUUGGAUUAAUGCCCCAUAGUAUAAUUGAAUGGCAUCAUUUAAUUAUUAAAGUCACAACGGUAAAGAUGAGCAUGCGUCCCAUUAGUUAGUUGGUAAGGUAACGGCUUACCAAGACAAUGAUGGGUAGGGGUCCUGAGAGGGAGAUCCCCCACACUGGUACUGAGACACGGAUCAGACUCCUACGGGAGGCAGCAGUGAGGAAUAUUGGACAAUGGGCGCAAGCCUGAUCCAGCCAUGCCGCGUGCAGGAAGACGGUCCUAUGGAUUGUAAACUGCUUUUAUACAGGAAGAAACACUCCGACGUGUCGGAGCUUGACGGUA